GAGGGGCCCGCGUCGGAUUAGGUAGUUGGUGGGGUAACGGCCUACCAAGCCUGCGAUCCGUAGCUGGUCUGAGAGGAUGAUCAGCCACACUGGGACUGAGAUACGGCCCAGACUCCUACGGGAGGCAGCAGUGGGGAAUAUUGGACAAUGGGGGCAACCCUGAUCCAGCAAUGCCGCGUGAGUGAAGAAGGCCUUAGGGUUGUAAAGCUCUUUCGCCCGCGAAGAUGAUGACGGUAGCGGGAGAAGAAGCCCCGGCUAACUCCGUGCCAGCAGCCGCGGUAAUACGGAGGGGGCUAGCGUUGUUCGGAAUUACUGGGCGUAAAGGGCGCGUAGGCGGUUUACCAAGUCAGGCGUGAAAGGCCUGGGCUCAACCCGGGAACUGCGCUUGAUACUUGUAGACUUGAAUCCGGGAGAGGAUGGCGGAAUUCCCAGUGUAGAGGUGAAAUUCGUAGAUAUUGGGAAGAACACCGGUGGCGAAGGCGGCCAUCUGGACCGGAACUGACGCUGAGGCGCGAAAGCGUGGGGAGCAAACAGGAUUAGAUACCCUGGUAGUCCACGCCGUAAACGAUGCGUGCUAGACGU
rnacentral:rRNA from 1 species